rnacentral:rRNA from 1 species
AAUGAACGCUGGCGGUAUGCCUAACACAUGCAAGUCGAGCGACAACACAAGAAGAUCGUUCUCCUGCGGUUAGCGAGGGGCGGGCGGGUAAGAAAUACAUCAGAAUCUUCUUUGUCUGGGGUGAUUACGGAAGAAAAGUGACACUAAUAGCUAAUACGAUCUACGGGUUGAAUCAAUAGAGCUUGGGAGCUUUCCUGAUACAAUUAGACGAUGUCGCAUUGGCUUGUUGGUUUGGUAAAGUCUCACCAAGGCAACGAUACGUUGCUGAUCUGAGAGGAUGAUCAGCCACACUGGAACUGAGACACGGUCCAGACUCCUACGGGAGGCAGCAGUGGGGAAUCUUCCGCAAUGGGCGAAAGCCUGACCCAGCAACACCGCGUGAGUGAAGAAGGCCUUCGGAUCGUAAAGCCCUUUUGUUGGGGAAGAAAAAAAGUAGAUUAAUCUCUGGACGUCUUGACGGUACCUAAUCAGAAAGCCACGGCUAACUUCGUG